rnacentral:lncRNA from 1 species
CUAGGAGAUUUAUUCAAUUUACUGGUGAUUCUCCAGCACUUUAUGUAUUUAAAUCAAGCUUCUUACAAAGUGAUUCAUCGUGGUUUGAUUGGAAGACGAAGAAGCUGUCCUAUUCCCGAACUAGGAAACUGGAAUCACCUGAUUUUAAAGUGGGAUAACUUCUUCAUCCUGGCUCCUAUGAAAUUUAUUCAACUUCCUCGUGAUUCGACACCACUUUAUGUAUCCAAACCAAGCUUCUUACAAAGUGAUUCAUCCUGGUUUGAUUGGAACGACGCAUAAGCUGUCCUAUUCCCAAACUGGGAAACUGGAAUCACGUGAUUUGAAAGUGUGAUAACUUCUUCAUCCCAGCUCCUAUGAGAUUUAUUCAACUUCCUGGUGAUUCUACAACACUUUAUGUAUCCAAAUCAAGCUUCUUACAAAGUGAUUCAUCCUGGUUUGAUUGGAACGACGAAGAAGCUAUCAUAUUCCCAAACUGGAAAACUGGAAUCACCUGAUUUGAAAGUGGGAUAACUUCUUCUUCCCAGCUCCUAUGAGAAUUAUUCAACUUCCUGGUGAUUCUACACCACUUUAUGUGUCCAAAUCAAGCUUCUUACAAAGUGAUUCAUCCUGGUUUGAUUGGUA